UGUAUAUGAUUCCGUCAACCUUUUUUGACAACAAAGCUCAAUAGUCUACAAAGAAAAAUAGCUUUAUGUUAUUGCCAUCAUAAUAUCAACUUCAUGGGCUGCUUCUUCAAACAUGUUAAAAAUUUUCAAAUAUACACCAAGAGCAAUAUGCAGACUUGGUAAAGAAACCUAUGUACAUACACAGCAAUGUGACAUGUCGCACAGUUUAUGCUAUGCGGUUGCCACUCAUUGAAUAAAAGCAGUGUUGUUGUUGUUUUUCUUUUUUUUAAAUUAUUGAUAGUACAACAACAUUUAUGGCAGAUUUUUUCCGGAUGAACAGUUUUUAUUUCUGUCAGCUUAACAAGAAAUACUUGCUCAAUUAUGAUUUUGAUUUUA